GAUAAAGAGUUGGCUUACAAUCGCCACUUCACACAAUACAUAAAUAAAACAUACAUCAUUCAGAGAUACACACAUAGGUCCGACUACGGAACCAAAAUAAAAGAAGACAACCCAACUGCUAGAUCCCUGAUCGUCCCAACUGGGCACCACUACUGAACAACAUGAAAAGAAUCAACACAACGAACAAGAUCUUCAUCGAGCUCCCACUUGAGCUCAGUUGCGUCACCUGCACUGGUAUCAACGGCACCUGCAACUGUUUUGGAAGUAUCUGUGAGUCACGAGGACUCAACAAUCUCACACCCGCGAGAUCAAGACUAUUUAAGCUUAUAGGAAAGAUGAGGUAAUGAGGUGGAGCUGCAGCAAGCACUAAGCAUAUAUGGUGGCUAACAUACGCAAAUAAGAGCGAGAAGAGAAGCAACGGAACGGUCGUGAAGCUAGCAAUGAUCAAGAAGUGAUUCUGAACUCCUACUUACGUCAAACAUAACCCAGAAACCGUGUUCACUUCCCGGACUCCGCCGAGAAGAGACCAUCACAGCUACACACGCGGUUGAUGCGUUUUAAUUAAGGUCAAGUGUCAAGUUCUCUACAACCGGAUAUUAACAAAUUCCCAUCUGCCACAUAACCGCGGGCACAGCUCUCGAAAGUUUAUACCCUGCAGGGGUGUCCCAACUUAGCCCAUUAUAAGCUCUCACGGUCAACGAAGGAUAUUCCUUCUCCCAGGAAGACCCGAUCAGUCUCGGAAUCCCGGUUACAAGACAUUUCGACAAUGGUGAAACAAGACCAGCAAAGCCACCCGAAUGUGCCGACAAAUCCCGAUAGGAGCUGCACAUAUCUCAUUCUCAGGGCACACCGGAUUGUCCAAGCUUCCGAUGGGCGAGCCUAGAGUUGCCCCUGGUGGCCACCGGCGACUGACGGGUUGGACCAACACUCAGAGGAGCACUGGCCCGGGGGUUUAAAAUAAAGAUGACCCUUCAGUCUGCAGAACCCAAGGGAAAAAGGCUUAGGUAGGCAAAUGGUAAAACCAAGGUUGGGCCUUGCUGGAGGAGUUUUAUUCAAAGCGAACUGUCAAGGGGGUCCCAUAAAUCACCCAACCGUGUAAGGAACGCAAAAUCAAGGAACAUAACACCGGUAUGACGGAAACUAGGGGCGGCAAGAGUGGAACAAAACAACAGGCAUAAGGCCGAGCCUUCCACCCUUAACCAAGUAUAUAGAUGCAUUAAUUAAAUAAGAGAUAUUGUGAUAUCCCAACAUAAUUAUGUUCCAACAAGGAGCAAUGUUCAACUUCACCUGCCACUAACAACGCUAUAAGAGGGGCUGAGCAAAAGCGGUAACAUAGCCAAACAACGGUUUGCUAGGAAGGGUGAAAAGGUUAGGGGCUGACAUGGCUGUAUGGGAGGCAUGAUAUAGCAAGUGGUAGGUAGCUAUAACGCCCACGAUGCGGCUAUAUCUCCCACGUGUCGAGGCACGACUUAGAGGCAUAACCGCAUAGUGGUUUUGUCGCAAGAAGGGUCAUCUUCACACAAUCCCAUGUAAUGAACAAGAAUGGGAUAAAGUGUUGGCUUACAAUCGCCACUUCACACAAUACAUAAAUAUAAAUCAUACAUCAUCCAAAAUACACACAUAGACCGGCUACGGUCAAGAUCCAAAUGAAAAUAAGAUAACCCCAAAUGCAAGGCUUCUCCCGAGUUCCAAGUUUUAUCGAUUAUAUCAUUUCAAAGCUUCGUCUAAUCAUUGCAAGGCUUCUCCCGGAGUUCUUUUCAAUUUUCCAUUUCGUUUGAUCAUUCUUUUAUUACCGGAGUUCUUCAUGGAGGCUCUACAUGGUGGUUCGUCAAGGAUUCCUUUCAUUUUUCAAUUGUUCUUCAAGAUUUCUCUUGAAGUUAUGAUCCGCCAGGCUAUACUCAAAAAAUUAACAUGGUGUUCAACACAUGUCUUGUUUUGAGGAGUUCAAGUAUUCUUCAUCUUGCAUUCCGAAGUGCAAUUCUUUCUCUUAUCUUUUGAGGUGGUGUUAUGUCAUUCUUGACACUUUGAGUUCGCGUUUCAUGAUUCACAUGUUGUCAAGAAUGAGAUAUUUUAAAUCCACCAAUCUCUUCGUUGGAUCUAUCUUGUGUCAUGUUUCACCUACAGCCUUCCCUAAGGAAUGUAGCUAUUUGUGGUGCUUACCAAUGAUCCAAGUUUUCUCCUAUCCUCUCGGCGAGAGAAGAUUUCAUCUCUUCGUUGAUCUCAAGCAAGCAAUUGUUUCCGCUAGUGGCGGGUUGUCACCUCAUAAUUUUGAGAUGUGUUCCAUAAGCCCUCAACAAGUUUGUUCUUUUUCGUUGUUGAUUUUCCCAACAACUCCGUUCUAACCUUCUCCGAAGGGUGCUUUCCAAGCUCAUUUGUGGCAGAAGUAGGCAUUUUCUUCUCCAUUCUUAUUUCAAGGAUCUGUCUUCUAUUAUUUAUUGCUUCCGGAGGCAUUGUGAUGUUGCUCUCUUCACUCAUCUUCUCGGUUGUGAGGACCGUGUUCUUUUCUUACUUAUCCAUUUAACCGGAGUGUCGUGUUUUUAUUCGAGCUCUCUCAUCUUAUCAAGUUUCGUCUCCCUUCUCAACCGGAGUGCUGUCUGAAAUCUUUCUUACCCCUUGUGCCAUUCUUUCAGUAGUUCCGGAGGCAAUGUGUUGUUAAUUUCAUCGAGUAUCCUCUCAUCUUGUCAAGAUCAUGUUCAAUUCCUUCCAUUUACAGUCGGAGUGCUGUCCAAAUUAUAUCAUUCUUAUUCCUUCCCUAUCUUGUUUUAACCGGAGUGGUUUAAAUAUCUAUCGUGUCAAUUAACCUCAAGGUUCACAUGGUGUUCCUUGUUUCUCUUUUCUACCGGUGUGCUUUCAUAUUCCUUUUGAUCCGUUAAGCUCUUGUUUCAUAUUCUUCAACCUACAAAGGUUCUCGCAAUGUUCCUUGUUCCUCUUGCUGAACAGAGUGUUUUAAAUUUUGUUCAUCUCCGUUGUGUCAUUUCCGCAAGCUUUGCGACCUCUAAAGGUUCAAUGGUUUCACUCGCUUUUCAAAGAAGCAAUUUGUUUUACCUCUUCCCCUUCCGUUUCUUUCCGGUGCCAUCCUAGAUCUCGGGACGAGAUCCUCUUGUAGUGGUGGAGUGUUGUAACGCCCCGAGACCGAUGCUCCAGACGCCUUCCAUCUUUUUCGUUAUCGUUGUGUGUAUUUAUUUGUUUGUUGCAUUCUUCAUCGCAUCAUUCGCAUUGCAUCGGCACUCUGUUGCCGUCAUUGUUUUUCAAACUUGCAUCCGCUCGUAGUUGCCGCGUCCCCCCUUGCGUUCGUUGACCAUUCUGAGUCUAACCGGAUUUUCGAUUCUCUCUUGUCUGACCAUUUGACCCUCUCUGCACAACCACCGAACCCCUCCUUGCGCAGUGCAUAGACCCCUCUCGCGCGUCCGGAACCUCCCCGAACCCGACCCGGGUUGUUGUCACCGUUGGAUUCGGAUCAUCCCCAAACAUCUACAAAACAUCACCGUUUUCUUUGUUGGACUCUCCACAGCCUUUUUCUCGACCGUUCAAUUUUGAUCGGAGGGCCUGUUUUGCCUUAAGCUAGUCCACCUAGCUAUUUAAACAGCCUAACCCUAGUUUUUAGGAGGCUUGUCCCAUCCAUCCUUUCUCUGCCGCCGCCACUCCCUCCAUCCUCCUCUUCCUCGGGAUCUCCCCCGCUCCAGAUCAGCAGCCACCACCUUCCCUCCUCGAAGUUGCGACCGAUCCAACCAGGAGCAUCGCUCAAUCCCCCUCACUUUUCUCUCUCUUUUGUCUCUGUCCCGUAGGAGUACCCAUCCAUGGCACCAGGAGAAGAUCGCCCCGACCACCUCGUAACCAGCUCGCCGGAGCAGAGCUCCUCCUCCGCCACCCUUGCCCGUUCCCAGCCGGAUCUCGCCAGCAGGGCCCCGUCCCCAUCUCCGGCGCCCCAAGUUCCGCCGCCGCUGCCGUUCCACUGCCAUGGCGCCUCGGCCUCCUCUGCUUCCCGCGUCGCCCAAGUCCCCCUGUCUCGCCGGACCUCCUUCCGCCGUCGCCAAUUCUUGCCUCGAUCUGUCAAUCCCACCGCCGGGAACGACCUCCACCUCCCAGGUCCCCGGCGACCUCACCGUCCGGGCCUCCUCCGCCUCGCCUUCCGCGCAAGUCCCUCGCCGACGCGCCCAGUUCUCGCUGCUGCCGCUGCUUCCUGUCGAGCAGGAGCCUCGACCCCAAGCUCCUCCUCUGCUUCUUCCCGGCGCGCCUCCGCCCCUUCUCCGGCCAAGUCCGGUGCCCCAUGGCCGGAUCCGCCGUCGCCUGCUCGUCGGUAGCCGCCGCCGUGCCCGCGACCCCUGCUUCCUGUCGCCAUGGCGCCGCUACAGUUCUUCUGCAGUUAGAUGCAGCAGCGCUGCAUCGAGCGCACGCCCGCGCCACCACGUGGGCUUCGUCGCCCUUCACCAGCAAGCAGGCCCAGCGCCCCCUUCCAGCCUCCCUCUCCAAGCCGAACGGGCCAAGGCCCACUGGGUGAGGCCACACCCUAGCGCCCCUCCUCUUGUUUUUUUCUCUGUUGGGCUUCCUAUUCACAUUCGGCCCAUGUGAUGUUUUUUUUCAGGAUCUGCGAAUUUAGCUAUUAUCCAAGGAUUUACAGUAUUGCAGAAAAACCCCUCAUGUUCAUGCAUUAAUAAUUAAUUAACCGUGCAUCUUUUGUAAAUAAUUUAUAUAUGAAAAAUGCUUAGAAUUUCAUCUAGUUUCAUAAUAUGCAACUUUCAUCCAUGUUUAAAAUGUUUAAAAUGCUGUUUGCUUAAAUUUGCUCGAUUGCCAUGUUAAAAUGAUUUAUUUCAUAACUAGAUAACCGUAACUUGGAUUUUAAUAAACUUUAUAUGUAAAUGGGGUAAAAAAUGCCUAGUUUAACAUGGUGCACUUCAUUUUGCUGUUUAACAAUAUUAAAAUUGCGUUUAUGGCAGAACAGUACCAAUCCCAAAAUAUGGACAUGAGGAUUUUCCGGAAUUGUUGUUGUUUGUUUCCGGCCUCAUUUAACUUGCUUAAAUAGGUAGUUUCCUUAUGCUUCACCUCUUGCCAUGGUUAACAACAUUUAACAUUGUUGGGUACAUAAUCGAGAGAGAACUAAAUAAUUGAUGUGGUGUUUCGUCAAUAUGCAACUCGUUGCAUAUUGAGCUCCACUUAAUUUGUAGUGGGGUUUGUUGCAUUUUCCCAUGCCAUACCUCAUUUAAACCGGACAUGCAUCAUACUUGAUUGUGCAUCAUGCCAUGUUUCUGUGAUGGUUGUUUUACUAUGUUGUUUGUUUCUUUCCGGGUUGCUUCUCUCGUUACCUUCGGUUUCGUUCCGGAGUUGUGAGAAUUCGCUCGACUACGCCCGUGUGUCUUCUUCAUGGACUCGUUCUUCUUCCUAGCGGGAUUUCAGGCAAGAUGACCAUACCCUCGAAAUCACUUCUAUCUUUGCUUUGCUAGUUGUUCGCUCUAUCGCUAUGCCGCGCUACCUACCACUUGCUAUAUCAUGCCUCCCAUACUGCCAUGUCAGCCCCUACCCUUUUCACCCUUCCUAGCAAACCGUUGUUUGGCUAUGUUACCGCUUUGCUCAGCCCCUUCUUAUAGCGUUGCUAGUUGCAGGUGAAGAUGAAGAUUGCUCCAUGUUGGAUUAUGUUUAUGUUGGGAUAUCACAAUAUCUCUUAUAUUAUUAAUGCAUCUAUAUACUUGGUAAAGGGUGGAAGGCUCGGCCUUAUGCCUGGUGUUUUGUUCCACUCUUGCCGCCCCUAGUUUCCGUCAUACCGGUGUUAUGUUCCUUGAUUUUGCGUUCCUUACGCGGUUGGGUGAUUUAUGGGACCCCCUUGACAGUUCGCUUUGAAUAAAACUCCUCCAGCAAGGCCCAACCUUGGUUUUACCAUUUGCCUACCUAAGCCUUUUUCCCUUGGGUUCUGCAGACUCAAGGGUCAUCUUUAUUUUAAAACCCUGGGCCAGUGUUCCUCUGAGUGCUGGCCCAAACUAGAGCCCUUUGCAGCGCCACCUCGGGGAAACUUGAGGUCUGGUUUUAGUUGUACGGACUGCUCAUCCGGUGUGCCCUGAGAACGAGAUAUGUGCAGCUCCUAUCGGGAUUUGUCGGCACAUUCGGGUGGUCUUGCUGGUCUUGUUUUACCAUUGUCGAAAUGUCUUGUAAACCGGGAUUCCGAGACUGAUCGGGUCUUCCCGGGAGAAGGAAUAUCCUUCGUUGACCAUGAGAGCUUAUGAUGGGCUAAGUUGGGACACCCCUGCAGGGUAUUAAACUUUCGAGAGCCAUGCCCGCGGUUAUGUGGCAGAUGGGAAUUUGUUAAUAUCCGGGUGUAGAGAACUUGACACUUGACCUUAUUUAAAACGCAUCAACCGCGUGUGUAGCCAUGAUGGUCUCUUCUCGGCGGAGUCCGGGAAGUGAACACGGUUUCUGGGUUAUGUUUGACGUAAGUAGGAGUUCAGGAUCACUUCUUGAUCAUCACUAGUUGACGACCAUUCCGUUGCUUCUCUUCUCGCUCUUUUUUGCGUAUGUUAGCCACCAUAUAUGCUUAGUCGCUGCUGCAACCUCACCACCUUACCCUCUCCUACCCUUAAGAUUAAAUGUCUUGAUCUCGCGGGUGUGAGAUUGCUGAGUCCUCGUGACUCACAGAUACUUCCAAAACAGUUGCAGGUGCUGAUGAUACCAGUGCAGAUGACGCAAUUGAGCUCAAGUGGGAGCUCGAUGAAGAUCUUGUCCGUUGUGUUGUUUCUUUCCUUGUUGAUCAGUAGUGGAGCCCAGUUGGGACGAUCAGGGAUCUAGCAGUUGGGUUGUCUUCUUUUAUUUUGGUUCCGUAGUCGGACCUAUGUGUGUAUUCUGUUUGAUGUAUGAUUUAUUUAUGUAUUGUGUGAAGUGGCGAUUGUAAGCCAACUCUUUAUCCCAUUCUUGUUCAUUACAUGGGAUUGUGUGAAGAUGACCCUUCUUGCGACAAAACCACAAUGCGGUUGUGCCUCUAAGUCGUGCCUCGACACGUGGGAGAUAUAGCCGCAUCGUGGGUGUUACAAGUUGGUAAUCAGAGCCAUCCCCGACUUAGGAGCCCCCUGCUUGAUCGAAUCGCUGGCGUUGUUGAGUCUAGAACAAAAAUGUUUUGAGUCUUAGGAUUAUAUAUAUCGGAGAGUAGGAUUCUUUUUACUCCUCAGUCCCUUCGUCGCUCUGGUGAGGUCUCCUGACGUAGAAGUUUUGACUAUUCUUUCCUCAAAUUUCACUAAAAUUUUUUAGGAUCACACGGGUAUCUUGGAAUGGUUCCGAUGCUUUUGUGACGAGAACAUUGUUCUUGGUGCCUCCUGACAUUUAGGGGUUGUGGCAGUGUCCCGGGGAGUUGAGCUUCGAGGUGUUGUCGUCACAACUUUAUCGUUGCAGUUCUGGAAUACCUGAGUUUCGCCGACAUCAAAAUCUCUUUUAUGCAGUUGUUGGUGAGAUCACCUCGACGCCACCCAGUACUGGGGCGGGAGUUCGGGAGUAUUGCCAUAACUUGUAUAACAGAUGUUUUUCGAAGGUUGAGGUAAACGAUUUCCGAGGGUUUCUUGGUUAUGUGUUGGCGGAUGGAUACAGCUGGAUCUAGGGAUUGCUAGUUUGUGUGAUAUAUUUUGUGUCCCCUGUAUCCCCAACACCAGAUUACAUAACCAGAAAGUUUCGGGAGUUUAUAAGUGGGAAUUCAAGUAGCCUUAGGAUAUCUUUCCGACAGACGCAUGAUAUGAGAUUGGGGUUCGACGUCUAGUGGUCCGCCUGUACACGGUUGAUUUUACAGUGGUCUCGUAGUGUCUUAAAGAGUCCUUGGCUAUGCCGACUCGGGGACGCUUCGUAUGUCAUGUGCACAGCCUUGUACAUGAUGGUGUUGUACGAUUGAGCCCGUGUGGGCCCCACCACAAAAACUUCGGACGAAAUAUCUAUCAUAUGUUUGUUCCGGCUUAUUCUGCAAGCCAAUACUUGUUUUGUUUUGUAUUGUGGUAUUCGAGUUGCUUCGAAGGCAUAUGUUGAUUCCAUAUCUUUUUCAAGUGGCUUCUCUACUUAUGGAAGUGUGAUGAUUUACUACGGAAUUCAUUCGUUCAUCUUCGUUCGAAUGUUUAUUGUGAAGACUAUAUGUUGCAAUUUCUAUCCGUUGAUUCUACUUAUCUAUUUAUCUAUCAAGAUGCUAACGGAUGUCACCCUCUUCAGGAUGGCUCCGCCAACGCGUCAGAAUCCGGAUCGCAAUGAAGGGAGUCAAGCGAACCCUCCGCCACCACCUCCGCCUCCGGAGGCAUGGCAAGCUAUCAUGGCAGCCACCAACGCCAAUGCUCAGAUGAUUUUGCAACUCUUGCAAGAACGCACCCAAGGGCAAGGAAAUCAAGGCAAUCAAGGUCAAGGCAACAAUCAGCCUCACUUCGCUACACUCAACCAGUUUCUCGCAAAUCAGCCCAAGUCUUUCAGCUACUGUGCCGAGGCCACGGAUGCCGAUGAUUGGCUCGUGGACAUCAACAAGCAUUUUGAAUGUAGCAAUGUCAGGCCUUAGGACUAUGUCAAGUUCGCUUCUUUCCAGCUCAAGGACCAAGCUGCUGAUUGGUUUCAACAAUACAAAGAUUCCAGAGGAGGUCGUGUGAUCACUUGGACUGACUUCUGUUGGGAUUUCAAAGCGCACCACAUUCCACAAAGUGUUGUUGAGAGCAAGCGUGAGGAGUUCCGCAAUCUCAAGCAAGGCAACAUGUCCGUGUAUCAAUACAACAUCCAAUUUCAGAAACUUGCUCGCUUCGCUAAACAAGACGUUCCUGAUGAAAAGAGCAUGAUCUAUCACUUCAGAGGUGGCCUUAGAGAGGAUCUGCAGUUAGCUCUCGUUCUUGUUGAGCCUACUCAGUUUGAUCAAUUCUAUAAUAUGGCACUGAAGCAAGAGGCUGCUCAGCUCAAGUGUGAGGCUUCUAAGAAGAGAGUCAGAGACGCAGUUCAGUCUUCUUCUUCCUCACUUGUGGCAGCUAAGCAACAGAAGUUCUGGUUGCCUCCUCCUCCUCCGUUUCGUCAGCCUUACCAGCAGAAGAACAAAGGUGGCCAUGGUUCUUCCAACUCUUCCAACUCUGGCUAUCAGAACAAGUCUCAGAGUCAAGCUCCAAAGUCCAAUGCUCCUUAUCACCGUCCACUCUCAGAGGUGACUUGCAACAAGUGUGAGCAGAAAGGUCACUAUGCUAACAAGUGCUUCAAUCAAAGGCGUCUGCCUCCUCCUCCUCCUGUCAGAUCUUCCAGCAAUGCAGUGGUCAAGCAUAAUCCAAAGUCUGCAAAGGUGAACAUGAUGAAUGCAGCUCAAGCGGAGGAAUCUACUGAUGUGAUAAUGGGUAAUCUUCCUGUUAAUGAUAUUCCUGCAAAAGUUCUUUUUGAUACUGGUGCUUCGCUUUCUUUCAUAUCAAGACCAUUUGCAUUUAAGCAUGAGUUGGUUUAUCAAGAUUUGCCUAGACCGUUAUCAGUUGUCUCUCCGGGUAAAUUCAUGAAUGCAAGCUCCAUGGUUCCGGAUGUUUCCAUCAAGAUGGGAAACUAUAAAUUUCUGUCUUCUCCAGUUGUUCUUGGUGACUCGGAUAUUGAUCUAAUUCUCGGGAUGGACUGGCUUUCUAAGCACAAAGCUCAACUUGAUUGUGCUGCCAGGGAAAUUCAAUUGACACACUCUUCUGAGGAUGUGAUUAUUUAUGCCGCUCGUGACGAAACCAUUCGGUUUUUUCUCUCAAUGAGAAGGGCGAAUUGAAUGCCAUCUCUCAAAUUCCAGUCGUUUGUGAGUAUCAAGAUGUCUUUCCAGAAGAGCUUCCGGGUAUGCCUCCUCACCGGCCAGUUGAGUUCAUUAUCGAACUAGAGCCUGGAACUGAACCCGUUUGCAAGCGUCCAUACAAGCUUGGACCCAACGAGCUGAAGGAAUUGAAGAAACAGCUCGAUGAACAAGAGCGUCUGUGGUUGAUCAGACCGAGUUCAUCUCCAUGGGGUUGUGGUGUUCUUUUUGUCAAGAAGAAGGAUGGCACGGACCGACUUUGUGUCGACUACCGUCCAUUGAACAAGAAGACUAUCAAGAACAAGUAUCCACUUUCCAACAUCAAUGAGCUAUUCGAGCAACUCAUAGGUGCCAAAGUAUUCUCCAAGCUUGACCUUCGUAUGGGUUAUCAUCAGAUUCGCAUUCGUGAAGAAGAUAUUCCCAAGACAGCAUUCAGAACAAGCUUUGGUUCUUAUGAAUAUACUAUCGUGUCUUUCGGCCUUGUCAAUGCUCCUCCAGUAUUUUCUCGGAUGAUGAAUUUCAUCUUCAACCCCUAUACCAAUCAAUUCGUCCUGGUGUAUCUCGAUGAUAUAUUGGUCUUCUCCAAGAAUAAGAAGGAUCAUGCCAAACAUUUGCGAUUGGUGCUCGACAAGCUCAGAGAGUAUCAAUUCUAUGUGAAGUUCUCUAAAUGUGAGUUUUGGCUCGAUGAAGUUCUUUUCCUUGGUCACAUCAUCUCUGCCAAGGGCAUCGCUGUUAACCCUGAGAAGGUGUCCGCAAUUGUGAAUUGGGAACCUCCUCAAAAUGUCAAGCAGCUUCGCAGUUUUCUUGGUCUUGCAAGCUAUUGCCGAAGAUUCGUUGAGAAUUUCUCCAAGAUUGCAAAGCCUCUUUCCAACCUCCUCCAGAAGCAUGUGAAGUAUGUCUGGUCUCCUGAGUGUGACGUUGCUUUCAACACUCUCAAAGAGAAACUCGUCACCGCUCCUGUCUUAACUCCUCCUGAUGAAUCCAAGCCAUUUGAAGUUUUCUGUGAUGCUUCUCUCCAAGGUCUCGGUGCCGUGUUAAUGCAAGAGAAGAAAGUUGUGGCCUAUACCUCUUGUCAGUUGAAGCCCAACGAGAAGAACUACCCCACUCACGAUCUUGAGUUGGCGGCAGUUGUCCAUGCAUUAAUAACGUGGAGACAUCUCUUGUUGGGAAGACAAGUGGACAUUUUCACCGAUCACAAGAGUCUCAAGUAUAUCUUCACUCAGCCCAACCUCAACCUCAGGCAGACUCGAUGGGUCGAAAUGAUUCAAGAGUACAAUUCGAGUAUUGAAUAUACUCCAGGCAAGGCCAAUGUCAUUGCAGAUGCUUUAAGCAGGAAGGCUUAUUGCAACAGCCUAAUUCUCAAGCCAUUCCAACCGGAUCUUUGUGAAGCUUUCCGCAAGCUGAAUCUCCAAGUUGUUCCUCAAGGCUUUCUUGCCAACCUCAUAGUCUCUCCUACUUUGGAAGAUCAAAUUCGUGAGGCACAACUCCUUGAUGCCAUGGUGAAGAAGGUGAAACGUGGUAUCGACAAGGGUCUUUCCAAAUACAAGUGCUAUCGCAUUGAUGACAUAGACACUUUAUUCUUCGAGGACCGGAUUGUGGUUCCUAAAGGUGAUCUAAGGAAAGUCAUUAUGAACGAGGCACACAAUUCUAUCCUAUCCAUUCAUCCUGGAAGUACGAAGAUGUACCAUGACCUCAAGCAGUCGUAUUGGUGGACUCGAAUGAAACGAGAAAUCGCUCAAUUCGUGAAUGAAUGUGAUGUCUGUCGAAGAGUGAAAGCAGAACACCAACGACCAGCUGGUCUCCUCCAACCUCUUGCUAUCCCAGAAUGGAAGUUUGAUCAUAUCGAAAUGGACUUCGUGACUGGUUUUCCAAAGUCCAAGCGUGGAAAUGAUGCUAUCUUCAUUGUCAUCGACAAGCUUUCUAAAGUGGCUCAUUUCCUUCCAAUCAAAGAAUCCAUCUCAGCAGCUCAGUUGGCAGAGCUAUACACCUCCAGAAUCGUCUCCUUGCACGGCAUUCCACAAUUGAUUUCUUCAGAUCGUGGAAGCAUCUUCACCUCUAAGUUCUGGGACUCCUUCCAGAAGGCCAUGGGCACAAACAUUCGCUUCAGCAUAGCUUUCCAUCCUCAAACUAGUGGCCAAGUCGAGCGAGUCAAUCAAAUUCUUGAAGAUAUGCUCAGGGCUUGUGUCAUUUCCUUUGGCAUGAAAUGGGAAGAUUGUCUUCCAUAUGCCGAAUUCUCCUACAACAACAGCUUCCAAGCGAGUUCAGGCAAGGCCCCAUUCGAGAUUCUCUAUGGCAGAAAGUGUCGUACUCCUCUCAAUUGGUCAGAGACUGGUGAACGCCAACUUCUUGGCAAUGACUUAAUCACUGAAGCUGAAGAAAUGUGUAAAGUCAUCCGUGAUAAUCUCAAAGCCGCGCAAUCGCGUCAGAAGAGUUACUAUGAUAGUAAGCACCGUGAUGUGGCUUUCGAGAUCGGAGACCAUGUCUACCUCCGCGUCUCUCCAAUGAAAGGCACUCGUCGCUUCGGUAUCAAAGGGAAGCUUGCCCCUAGAUACGUGGGUCCUUUCAAGAUCAUUGGCAAAAGGGGCGACCUCGCCUAUCAACUUGAGCUUCCUUCCAACUUCGCGAACAUGCACGAUGUGUUCCACGUGUCACAGCUUCGCAAGUGCUUCAAGACGCCUGAGCGCACCAUCAACUUCCAAGAGAUUGACCUCCAAGAAGAUUUGUCUUAUCAUGAGCACCCCGUUGCUAUUCUUGAAGAAACUGAGCGCAAGACUCACAACAAGUCAAUCAAAUUCCUGAAACUGAAGUGGUCGCACCUUUCUGACUGGGAAGCCACCUGGGAACGCGAGGACCAUCUCCGUUAUGAAUAUCCGGAGUUCUUUCAGUCCUAGAUCUCGGGACGAGAUCCUCUAGUAGUGGUGGAGUGUUGUAACACCCCGCAUGUAACUUGCCAUAUUUGUAACUCCGACUCUUGCCAUUUUCGGCUAUGUGCUAUGAUAUUCCCUUCGUGGUCGGGUUUUUGUCUUUCGUUUUGCAUUUUGUUCAUGUCAUGCAUUUCAUAUCAUGUCCUCAUGUGCAUUGCAUUUGCAUACGUGUUUGUCUCACGCAUCCGAGCAUUUUCCCCGUUGUCCGUUUUGCAAUCCGGCGCUCCUAUCUCCUCCGGUGCACCCCUUUUGUUUUCUUUUGUGAGCGGGUGUCUAACGUUCUCGGAAUGGACCGAGGCUUGUCAAGUGGCCUUGGUAUACCACCGGUAGACCACCGGUCAAGUUCCGUUCCAUUUGGAGGUCGUCUGGUACUCCAACGGUUAACCGGGUAACCGCAGAUGCCUUCUGUGUGUUCCAGCAAAACCCUCCUCAAAAAACAGCCCAAAACCCACCAAACUCUCUUCCAUGCUCUAGGUCGUUCGAUCACGAUCGUGUGGGCGAAAACCGCACCUCAUUUGGAGCCUCCUAGCUCCCUCUACCUAUUUAUAUGUGACCCUUUCGAAAAACGAAUCGCAGACUAAACCCUAGACCCGCUCCCUCUCCGCCGCCGGACACGUCCGGGCGGAGCCGGACGCGUCCACUCCCACCGCCGCCGCCACGUGUCACCGCCGCCUUCGCCGUCGCCGCCGGCCCGCCGGCCCGUUCGGGGCCCUCCCGGCCCAGAUCCGCNNNNNNNNNNNNNNNNNNNNNNNNNNNNNNNNNNNNNNNNNNNNNNNNNNNNNNNNNNNNNNNNNNNNNNNNNNNNNNNNNNNNNNNNNNNNNNNNNNNNNNNNNNNNNNNNNNNNNNNNNNNNNNNNNNNNNNNNNNNNNNNNNNNNNNNNNNNNNNNNNNNNNNNNNNNNNNNNNNNNNNNNNNNNNNNNNNNNNNNNNNNNNNNNNNNNNNNNNNNNNNNNNNNNNNNNNNNNNNNNNNNNNNNNNNNNNNNNNNNNNNNNNNNNNNNNNNNNNNNNNNNNNNNNNNNNNNNNNNNNNNNNNNNNNNNNNNNNNNNNNNNNNNNNNNNNNNNNNNNNNNNNNNNNNNNNNNNNNNNNNNNNNNNNNNNNNNNNNNNNNNNNNNNNNNNNNNNNNNNNNNNNNNNNNNNNNNNNNNNNNNNNNNNNNNNNNNNNNNNNNNNNNNNNNNNNNNNNNNNNNNNNNNNNNNNNNNNNNNNNNNNNNNNNNNNNNNNNNNNNNNNNNNNNNNNNNNNNNNNNNNNNNNNNNNNNNNNNNNNNNNNNNNNNNNNNNNNNNNNNNNNNNNNNNNNNNNNNNNNNNNNNNNNNNNNNNNNNNNNNNNNNNNNNNNNNNNNNNNNNNNNNNNNNNNNNNNNNNNNNNNNNNUCCCCCGCCGUCUCCUUCCUCCUCGUCGCGCCCCGCCGGCCACCUCUCCUUCCUCCGGCGCCCGCUCCGGCCGAGCUCGAGCCCGAGCCGGCGAGUUCCCUGAGGUCUCGAUCCAGAUCCAUUGUAGCAGGUUGACUUUCCCGAGACCCCGAUUUUACCCGUCCCAGUAUUUUCUCAGCAAGUACCCAUGUUCAACAGUGCAUAACUCCUUGCACGUAGCUCCGUUUCGUGCGUGUAAUAUGUCAAAUUGUUCGUCUCGUGAUGCUCUACAUUUUGUUCAAUUGCACCAUGUUCAUUAGAGGUCAUCUUGAUACCCAAAUCUCUGCUGCAAUAGUGCUAGUUGCUGUUAUCUUCUGGUUCUUAGCAGAACUUGGAGAUUUGUCAUUUUUGUAUCAUUUAAUCUGUGCAUCUUAUGGGCAUGAGAUCUACAUGUGUUUUGUUGUAUGCCAUGCUAUCUUUCCAGUGGUGUAUGCCAUGUAUUUUUGUGUUCUCUGUGGUGAAUAGCACAAGCAUGCAAACUAGGCCCCAUAAUGUUUCUGAUUUCAGAGACUUAGUGAUUUCUCCAAGUCCUUGUCUGCUGUUAUUUUGUUGCCAUGUAAACUUGAUGCUAUAGAGAGAUCCAUACAUAUUUUGGAGAUGUCCAGUAAGGAUGUUUUGUAGAUAUUGUUGUAAUUGAUCCAUUCCUGCCCUUGUUUGCAAUUAUGGAGUGCCAUAGCAUGACUCAAUCUAGCUCUACUUUUGCUAUAAAAUAUUUUUGGCAGAUUCUUAACAUGAUAUGCAAUUUUGCCAAGCUUAUUGUAGUUGAUCCAUACAUGUUAUGCUCUUGUUCUUGCCAUGGAUAGCUUCAUAAACUUGCCAUCUUGCUGUAGGUAUGCUUGUUUCUGCCAUGCUCUGUUUUCUGCUAAGUCUGAAACCUGAUAAUGAAACUUGCUAUGUUUACAUGCUUGCCAUCAUAUCUUCUGGUCCUUUUUGGCUUAUGGUCCGUAAGGGACUUUUGUCAUAUGCAUUUAGUAGAAUACUCCCAUGCCUUGUUUUGCCAUGUUAAGUUCCUGUAGCAUAUUGAUUUCGUGCUCUGAACAUUGCUACCUGAUGCUGUUUCAGUCAUGUCCAGUAAUUUCACCAAGUCUGUGAACCUGAUAUCUUUUGCACUUUUGCCAUGCUUGUUCGAGCUUGAUAUGUUGUGAACUAGUCGUAGCUCAGUGCUCAUCUUUUGUCAAGCAUCUCCUGUAGAUUUCUACCAUGUACUUUGUUGUUAUGUUGGUGUGCUGUAGCUUUGUUACUUGUUGCAUUUUAAGUGCUAUCUUGCUGUUAAUCGCAGAUUCGUGUCAUUCUUGUUUUGCUUGCCAUUUGCAAACCGUACAUCCGUUUCCGGUGAUCUUUAUAUCGAUUUCGAUCGAAAUCAUCUCAUCUUUCCAGUGGCAUGCUUGGUUUGCCAAGUUACUGCCAUGUUCAUCAUUUUUCCUUCCAGAGCACGCAUAUGCAUCGCAUAUCAUAUCUUGCAUAUCAUACAUGUUUUGCAUCAUGUUGCUUGUGCAUUUCUCGUGAUUGAUUGUGGUUCCGUUUGUUUGUGUUCUUGUCUUGGGUAGAGCCGGGAGACGAGUUCGUGAACGAGGAACCUGUUGAGUACGCUUACGAGGAUCAAGCUUUCGACAACUCUGAGAACCCUGCAGGCAAGAUGACCACCCCUCGAAAUCACUUUUAUCUUUGCUUUGCUAGUUGUUCGCUCUAUUGCCAUGUUGUGCUACCUAUAACUUGCUAUAUCAUGCCUCCCAUAUUGCCAUGUUAGCCUCUAACCAUCCUUUCCUAGCAAACCGUUGUUUGGCUAAGUUACCGCUUUUGCUCAACCCUUCUUAUAGCGUUGCUAGUUGCAGGUGAAGUUGAAGUUUGUUCCAUGUCGGAACAUGGAUAUGUUGGGAUAUCACAAUAUCUCUUAUUUAAUUAAUUCAUCUAUAUAUUUGGUAAAGGGUGGAAGACUCGGCCUUAUGCCUGGUGUUUUGUUCCACUCUUGCCGCCCUAGUUUCUGUCAUACAGGUAUUAUGUCCCUUGAGUUUGCGUUCCUUACGCGGUCGGGUGAUUUAUGGGACCCCCUUGACAGUUCGCCUUGAAUAAAACUCCUCCAGCAAGGCCCAACCUUGGUUUUACCAUUUUCCACCUAAGCCUUUUCCCCCGGGUUUUCGCGAGCCCGAGGGUCAUCUUUAUUUUAAACCCCCGGACCAGUGCUCCUUCGAGUGCUGGCCCAAACCGAGCGAUGUCCGGCGCCCCCUGGGCAACCAGGGUCUAUGCCAACCCGACGUCUGGCUCAUCCGUUGUGCCCUGAGAACGAGAUAUGUGCAGCUCCUAUCGGGAUUUGUCGGCACAUUCGGGAGGCUUUGCUGGUCUUGUUUUACCAUUGUCGAAAUGUCUUGUAAACCGGGAGUCCGAGACUGAUCGGGUCUUUUCGGGAGAAGGUUUAUCCUUCGUUGACCGUGAGAGCUUAUGAUGGGCUAAGUUGGGACACCCCUGCAGGGUAUUAUCCUUCGAAAGCCGUGCCCGCGGUUAUGAGGCAGAUGGGAAUUUGUUAAUGUCCGGUUGUAGAGAACUUGUCACUUGACCCAGUUAAAAUACAUCAACUGUGUGUGUAGCCGUGAUGGUCUCUUCUCGGCGGAGUCCGGGAAGUGAACACGGUUUGAGUUAUGAAUGACGUAAGUAGGAGUUCAGGAUCACUUCUUGGUCAUUGCUAGAUGACGACCGUUCCGUUGCUUCUCUUCUCGCUCUCUCUUGCGUAUGUUAGCCACCAUAUAUGCUUGUUGCCUGCUGCAGCUCCACCUCAUUACACCAUCCUUUCCUAUAAGCUUAAAUAGUCUUGAUCUCGCGGGUGAGAGAUUGCUGAGUCCCCGUGACUCACAGAUUCUACCAAAACAGUUGCAGGUGCCGACGAUGCCAGUGCAGAUGAUGGGAUUGAUCUCAAGUGGGAGUUCGAUGAGGAACGUGGUCGUUACUAUGUGUCUUUUCCUGAUGAUCAGUAGUGGAGCCCAGUUGGGACGAUCGGGGAUCUAGCACUUGGGGUUAUCUUAUUUUCAUUUGGAUCUUGACCGUAGCCGGUCUAUGUGUGUAUUUUGGAUGAUGUAUGCUUUAUAUUUAUGUAUUGUGUGAAGUGGCGAUUGUAAGCCAACUCUUUAUCCCAUUCUUGUUCAUUACAUGGGACUGUGUGAAGAUGACCCUUCUUGCGACAAAACCACUACGCGGUUAUGCCUCUAAGUCGUGCCUCGACACGUGGGGGAUAUAGCCGCAUCGUGGGCGUUAUAGUAGCGCAGCAUGGCAAUAGAAAGGACAACUAGCAAGCAAAGAUAGAAGUGAUAUUGAGGGUAUGGUCAUCUUGCCUGAAAUCCCGCUAGGAAGAAGAACGAGUCCAUGAAGCAGACAAACGGACGUAGUCGAACGAAUCCUCUCAACUCCGGAACGAAACCGAAGGUAACGAGAGAAGUAACCCGGAAAGAAGCAAAC
rnacentral:lncRNA from 1 species